AAUACAAUGUUAAUACAUGUCUUUACAUUGGUGUGUUUUGUGUUCUGCUACAUAGACCUGGGAGUGUUAUAGCAGACUACACUAUAAGUGCAACAUCCAACAGCCUUGAUUUUGGAGCAGCAAACACACAGGUUUCUGACUCUCUGAGAACACAAGGAAUAAUUUUAGCUGAAGAUGCCUUUGCUCAAAGUGAUCAAACCGUCUUCACAACAGAUCAGUUAUAUCCUCUGCAAAAGGUGGACCUAAACUGUAUACAGCCAGACUUUGCAAAGGGACAAAUAAAAUGGACAGUGGAUAACAAAGAUCCUGCACUAGACAACACAAGAUAUUUACUUUCAAAUGACAACAGAACUCUCACUGUAAAAAACGCUAAUGAAAGUGACAGUGGUCAAUAUUCAUGCAUCAUACAAAGGAAUACA
rnacentral:lncRNA from 1 species